GACGAACGCUGGCGGCGUGCUUAACACAUGCAAGUCGAACGGAAAGGCCCUGCUUGCAGGGUACUCGAGUGGCGAACGGGUGAGUAACACGUGGGUGAUCUGCCCUGCACUUCGGGAUAAGACUGGGAAACUGGGUCUAAUACCGGAUAGGAGCCAUUUUUAGUGUGAUGGUUGGAAAGUUUUUUCGGUGUAGGAUGAGCUCGCGGCCUAUCAGCUUGUUGGUGGGGUAAUGGCCUACCAAGGCGGCGACGGGUAGCCGGCCUGAGAGGGUGGACGGCCACAUUGGGACUGAGAUACGGCCCAGACUCCUACGGGAGGCAGCAGUGGGGAAUAUUGCACAAUGGGCGCAAGCCUGAUGCAGCGACGCCGCGUGGGGGAUGACGGCCUUCGGGUUGUAAACUCCUUUCGCUAGGGACGAAGCUUUUUGUGACGGUACCUAGAUAAGAAGCACCGGCUAACUACGUG
rnacentral:rRNA from 1 species